rnacentral:rRNA from 1 species
AUUUUUACACCCAGGUAGUAAGGACCACUUAAACCUAUGUUUAAUGGCGGCAUUUUUUCUUACUAGAGGAACAUGCUAUAUAAUCGACAACACACGAUUAAUUUUACUAUUUUCUAAAUUUUAUAUACCUCCGUCCUAAUCUUCUCACAUUUUUCAAAAAAACUCUAAAAGGGUAGGUAAAGGUGUAAACCAUGAAAUAGGCUUAAAUGUGUUACAUUAAAAAAAAUUUAAGGCUAAUAUACUAAUUUUUUUUUAAAAAAGGAUUUAGAAGUAAUAUUUUUAUAGUAUUUAAAUUUGAAUAAGGAAAUAUAUGUGC